rnacentral:tRNA from 2 species
GCGCCCGUAGCUCAAUUGGAUAGAGUGUUGGACUACGAAUCCAAAGGUUAGAGGUUCGAUCCCUCUCGGGCGCG